UGUACACACCGCCCCGUCACACCAUGGGAGUUUGUUGCACCAGAAGCAGGUAGCUUAACUUUCGGGAGGGCGCUUGCCACGGUGUGGCCGAUGACUGGGGUGAAGUCGUAACAAGGUAGCCGUAUCGGAAGGUGCGGCUGGAUCAC
rnacentral:rRNA from 1 species